rnacentral:antisense_RNA from 1 species
AGUCAUGAUUGCUAUUCUCGGUAAAUAGUGGUUGUGACGAGCGGUGCGGGUGUGUUGGCGCACAUCCGCACCGCGCU